rnacentral:lncRNA from 1 species
UUUUCAGAAAAUACGCUCACAAGAGUGCUUUAUAUCUUUAAUUAUUAAGUAAAAAGGUAACCGAUACAAAAGAAGGACAACUUGAUACACAACGACAUGUAAAAUAAAAUACAAUUACACGGUACAUCUCUUUGGUCCCCAUCUUCCUUCGCUUAUUCGUGGAUCAUCAGAUCUAUAAAAAUGCACCAUAAAGACAGUAAAGAAAAAAACUACACAAGCGUACA